CAGCGGCAGUCAGGAAGUGAGCGCGGGGCAGAGCGGUUGCAGCGCUUUCGCUCUCAGACAUCCACGAGCUGCUUGUGUUCCUCUCUGACCGAGCAGCUCGACCCAGUUCGGCCCGACAUCCCAGGGGCCGUGCAGCUCUGAGCGUGAGGGGAUCUGACCAGAAAGAGCUCAUCAUCGUCAGUAUGAUGGCCAACACGGCAACAUUUCCCUGGUAACGGCGUCCAGCUACAGCCCAGCCACCAAGAUCACACUAGGAAUGGUCAAUUCCAAUGUGGGAGCCCAG